rnacentral:rRNA from 1 species
GAUGAACGCUAGCUACAGGCUUAACACAUGCAAGUCGAGGGACCGGCGCACGGGUGAGUAACACGUAUCCAACCUGCCCUUUACUCGGGGAUAGCCUUUCGAAAGAAAGAUUAAUACCCGAUGUAAAGGAUGGGGAUGCGUUACAUUAGGUUGUUGGUGAGGUACCGGCUCACCAAGCCUUCGAUGGAUAGGGGUUCUGAGAGGAAGGUCCCCUGCAUUGGAACUGAGACACAGUCCAAACUCCGACGGGAGGGAGCAGUGAGGAAUAUUGGGCAAUGGGCGUUAGCCUGAACCAGCCAAGUAGAGUGAAGGAUGAAGGCUUAUGGGUCGUAAACUUCUUGGAUAUAAGAAUAUGUAUUAUAUGAAGAAGGAUCGGCUAACUCCGUGCCAGCCGCCGCGGUAAUAC